GGUUAAGCGACUAAGCGUACACGGUGGAUGCCCUGGCAGUCAGAGGCGAUGAAGGACGUGCUAAUCUGCGAUAAGCGUCGGUAAGGUGAUAUGAACCGUUAUAACCGGCGAUUUCCGAAUGGGGAAACCCAGUGUGAUUCGUCACACUAUCAUUAACUGAAUCCAUAGGUUAAUGAGGCGAACCGGGGGAACUGAAACAUCUAAGUACCCCGAGGAAAAGAAAUCAACCGAGAUUCCCCCAGUAGCGGCGAGCGGACGGGGAGCAGCCCAGAGCCUGAAUCAGUGUGUGUGUUAGUGGAAGCGUCUGGAAAGGCGUGCGAUACAGGGUGACAGCCCCGUACACAAAAAUGCACAUAUUGUGAGCUUGAUGAGUAGGGCGGGACACGUGGUAUCCUGUCUGAAUAUGGGGGGACCAUCCUCCAAGGCUAAAUACUCCUGACUGACCGAUAGUGAACCAGUACCGUGAGGGAAAGGCGAAAAGAACCCCGGCGAGGGGAGUGAAAAAGAACCUGAAACCGUGUACGUACAAGCAGUGGGAGCACGCUUAGGCGUGUGACUGCGUACCUUUUGUAUAAUGGGUCAGCGACUUAUAUUCUGUAGCAAGGUUAACCGAAUAGGGGAGCCGAAGGGAAACCGAGUCUUAACUGGGCGUUAAGUUGCAGGGUAUAGACCCGAAACCCGGUGAUCUAGCCAUGGGCAGGUUGAAGGUUGGGUAACACUAACUGGAGGACCGAACCGACUAAUGUUGAAAAAUUAGCGGAUGACUUGUGGCUGGGGGUGAAAGGCCAAUCAAACCGGGAGAUAGCUGGUUCUCCCCGAAAGCUAUUUAGGUAGCGCCUCGUGAAUUCAUCUCCGGGGGUAGAGCACUGUUUCGGCAAGGGGGUCAUCCCGACUUACCAACCCGAUGCAAACUGCGAAUACCGGAGAAUGUUAUCACGGGAGACACACGGCGGGUGCUAACGUCCGUCGUGAAGAGGGAAACAACCCAGACCGCCAGCUAAGGUCCCAAAGUCAUGGUUAAGUGGGAAACGAUGUGGGAAGGCCCAGACAGCCAGGAUGUUGGCUUAGAAGCAGCCAUCAUUUAAAGAAAGCGUAAUAGCUCACUGGUCGAGUCGG
rnacentral:rRNA from 1 species